AUGAACGGCAAAGAAGGACCAGGAGGGUUCGGGAAGAGGAAGCAUGACAACUUCCCACAUAACCAAAGGUGAGAGGGGAAGAAUGCCAGUUUGUCUUCGCUGGUGAUGCAGGCCUUCAAAUCAUUUCAGCAGGAGCUGGACGCGAGGCACGACAAAUAUGAGAGACUCGUGAAGCUAAGCCGGGAUAUUACUGUGGAAAGUAAGAGGACAAUUUUUCUUCUCCAUAGGAUUACAAGUGCUCCUGAUAUGGAGGAGAUACUGACUGAAUCAGAAAGUAAGCUGGAUGGUGUCAGACAGAAAAUCCUGCAGGUAGCCCAAGAGCUCUCGGGAGAAGACUUGCACCAGUUCCAUUGAGCCGUCACCACAGGACUGCAGGAAUUAUGUGGAGGCUGUCUCCUUUCAACACUUCAUAAAAACUCGUUCACUGAUCAGUAUGGAAGAGAUUAACAAGCAAUUGACAUUUACAGCAGAAGGCAGUGGGAAAGAGAGCAAGACUCCUCCCACUGAUGGACAAGAGAAGCAGACUGAAGAUCACACCUGUUGACUACCUGCUGGGCGUGGCCAACUUAACUGGAGAGUAGAUGCGGAUGUGUAUUAACAGUGUGGGGAAUGGGGACAUCCACACCCCCUUUGAAGUGAGCCCGUUUUUACGCCAGGUUUACGAUGGGUUCUCGUUCAUUGGCAACACUGGCAACUAUGCUGUACACCUUGAAACAGAGCCUGGCCAAAGUGGAGAACGCUUGCUAUGCCCUGAAAGUCCGGGGUUCCGAGAUUCCUAAGCACAUGCUGGCAGACAUGUUUUCAGUUAAAACAGACAAGAUUGAUCAGGAAGAGAGCAUUUCUUAAGCAGCCCCACUCUGCUCUCUAAGGAGCUCCUGGGCGACCAGUUGGUGAGACUGUUCUGAGUGUGCAUCUGAGUUUAUUGGGGCUUCUG